GGGAAGUAGCGGGGCAAGCAGCAGAUUGGCUCUCAGCCUUUUCUCAAGAUGCCAGCAGUUAUCAAAGCAGACCCUCUGAGUUUGCUCACAGGAACAAGCUGGGUCGCACGGCUGCUGGCACACAAGAAACAAAGGACCCUUGACAUAACUUCCUCACGGAGGCACGAGCAAAGAGGGGGAGGAGUUGCGCCUAAAAAAACAAACCCAACCUGUCGUUCUCAGCCCUGCCAACCUGUCAGUCCAGCCAUGCAAGAGAGGGAGAGAGAGAAAAAGAAAGGAGGGAGUGAAGCAGAGAUUCAGAUCUCAGCAGAUAUUAAGUGUUUGCAGUUGAGAAGUAAAACAGGAAAAACACGGCUGACUGAACAGGUUCAUUACAAACAUCUUGAAAUGAACUGA
rnacentral:lncRNA from 1 species